rnacentral:rRNA from 1 species
GACGAACGCUGGCGGCGUGCUUAACACAUGCAAGUCGAACGGAAAGGCCCUGCUUUUGUGGGGUGCUCGAGUGGCGAACGGGUGAGUAACACGUGAGUAACCUGCCCUUGACUUUGGGAUAACUUCAGGAAACUGGGGCUAAUACCGGAUAGGAGCUCCUGCUACAUGGUGGGGGUUGGAAAGUUUCGGCGGUUGGGGAUGGACUCGCGGCUUAUCAGCUUGUUGGUGGGGUAGUGGCUUACCAAGGCUUUGACGGGUAGCCGGCCUGAGAGGGUGACCGGCCACAUUGGGACUGAGAUACGGCCCAGACUCCUACGGGAGGCAGCAGUGGGGAAUAUUGCACAAUGGGCGGAAGCCUGAUGCAGCAACGCCGCGUGCGGGAUGACGGCCUUCGGGUUGUAAACCGCUUUCGCCUGUGACGAAGCGUGAGUGACGGUAAUGGGUAAAGAAGCACCGGCUAACUACGUGC